rnacentral:lncRNA from 1 species
AGUAACUUAUUUUACCAAUUUGUAAUGUGAAUUGUGUUUGAGUCUAAAUACUUUUUGGAGUGAUCAUCCUAUUUCCAUUUGUCCAAACACCAAAUAUAUGGAGGAUGUGAACUUCAGAAGAUUCAAAAUAUGUACUAUCAAUGGAGGCAGGAAAAUAGAGAAUAAGAGGACAUGGUAGGAAAGGUAAAUUAUCACCUGUCUAUUCCACUCACUUCACUCUGAAUCCCAUGCAGCCUAUUUUGCAUUGCCAAUCUGCAAGAUGAGCUAGGCAUUGCCAAUCCUGGCAGAAAGGAUCUGGCAAAAUAAAGGAAGUCAUAGAUAACAAAAUUCUAAUAUGCUAGUAGUUUACAAAUGUAUUUUUGACACAAAAUUUGAGUGGUAAUGUUAAA